UACAGAGGGUGCGAGCGUUACUCGGAAUUACUGGGCGUAAAGCGUGCGUAGACGGUUAUUUAAGUCGGAUGUGAAAGCCCCGGGCUCAACCUGGGAAUUGCAUUCGAGACUGAAUAGCUAGGGUGCGGUAGAGGGAAGCGGAAUUUCCGGUGUAGCGGUGAAAUGCGUAGAUAUUGGGAGGAACACCAGUGGCGAAGGCGGCUCACUGGACCGGUACUGACGCUGAGGCGCGAAAGCGUGGGGAGCAAACAGG
rnacentral:rRNA from 1 species